GCGGGCGGAAGAGCCCCGCGGACCCGCCCGGCCCUAUCGAAGCUGCGUCUGUCGGUGCUGUGGUAGAUGCAGUCAAAAAGGAGCCAAGAGAAAGGUAUUUUCCUCGACGGUCGCCGCUCAGUUGGAUCCUUCAUAACUGUCCGGCAACAUUUCGGGAAAGAACACGGCCCACCAUGGGCUAACGGGGUUACUGGUGCUAGAAGCAGGCUGCUGUCGUAAAUCUCUUCCCCUGGGGUCCAGACUGAUGCACCGGGGGGAGGAGGGGUGAAUCCCUUCUUUCUGUACUGCUGUUUUAACUUCUCUUCUAAUUUACUUAAAGCUCAAGACUCUAUUUUUCCCCAGCAGCAUGCUGGCACAGAAGGUGAUUCUGGAGCAUGGGAUGGCAGGGGUCCUGGGUGUUCCAGAGCUCACCCAUCUGAUGGAUAAACCCAGUGAGAAGCAGUUACUCUGUGAAAGAAGGUGAGAACUUGUGAGCCUUGUCCCAAGGGUUUCAGCUUACUUCCCAUAGGACCUGAGUUGUGGGGAAGCUGCAGUAUGGAGUCUGUCUAAGCAGAGGGUGAGCCAUCCCUGAAGGACUUGGUGCUGCAGUGCCAGACUGUUCUUUCUCAGCCUUCUGCAGA